rnacentral:rRNA from 1 species
CAGUAGCCACGGUAAUACGAAGGGGGCUAGCGUUGCUCGGAAUCACUGGGCGUAAAGGGUGCGUAGGCGGGUCUUUAAGUCAGAGGUGAAAUCCUGGAGCUCAACUCCAGAACUGCCUUUGAUACUGAGGAUCUUGAGUUCGGGAGAGGUGAGUGGAACUGCGAGUGUAGAGGUGAAAUUUGUAGAUAUUCGCAAGAACACCAGUGGCGAAGGCGGCUCACUGGCCCGAUACUGACGCUGAGGCACGAAAGCGUGGGGAGCAAACAGGAUUAGAUACCCGCGUAGUCCCUGUCUCUUAUAA